UGGGGAAUAUUGCACAAUGGGCGAAAGCCUGAUGCAGCAACGCCGCGUGAGUGAUGAAGGUCUUCGGAUUGUAAAGCUCUGUCUUUUGGGACGAUAAUGACGGUACCAAAGGAGGAAGCCACGGCUAACUACGUGCCAGCAGCCGCGGUAAUACGUAGGUGGCGAGCGUUGUCCGGAUUUACUGGGCGUAAAGGGUGCGUAGGCGGAUGUUUAAGUGAGAUGUGAAAUACCCGGGCUUAACUUGGGUGCUGCAUUUCAAACUGGAUAUCUAGAGUGCAGGAGAGGAGAAUGGAAUUCCUAGUGUAGCGGUGAAAUGCGUAGAGAUUAGGA
rnacentral:rRNA from 1 species